rnacentral:rRNA from 1 species
GGGGGAAAAAUUAAUAAUUAUUUAUUUAAUAAAAUAAAUUUUAAAAUAAAAAUAUUUAGGGGGGUUUAAGUAUUUUUAAUAAAAAAAAUUUAUAAAUUUAAAGUAAAUUAGUAUUGUAUAAGAAAUUUGAAAUAAAAGUGAAAAUAUAAUUUAAAAUAAAGUAAUUUUAAUUUAAUGUAUCUUGUGUAUCAGAGUUUAUUAAAAAAAUUUUUUAAUUAAAAAUUUCUCGAAUUAAAAAGAGUUAAUUAAUUAAUAAAAUUAUUGUUACAUAAAUAUUUUUAAUAAUUAAUUUGAAAUGAAAAGUUAUUCGUUUUUUAAUAUAUCUAGUUUUUUUAGAAAAAAAUUUAAUUUUAAAUUAUUUUAUAAAAUAAUUAAUUAAUUAAUUAUUUUAAAAUUUAAUUAAAUAUUUUAAGGGAUAAGCUUUAAAUUAAAAUUUUAUAAAUAAAUUAAUAAAAAAAAAUAAAAAUUUUAUAAUUUAUAUUGUUAAUAAAUUUUAAUUUAUUAUAAAUAAUUUUAUUAAAAAAAAAAAUUUAAUUUAUUUUAAUUUUUUAUAAAAAUAUGAUUUUUAAUAUAAAAAAUUUAGAAAUAAUGAUAAAAUUAGUAUAUUAUAAUAUAUUAUAAUAUAUUAUAUAUUUAAUUAUAAUUAAAUAAAAAGAAUUCGGCAAAAAUUUAUAUUCACCUGUUUAUCAAAAACAUGUCUUUUUGAAAAUAAUUUAAAGUUUAAUCUGCCCACUGAUAAUAUAUUAAAGGGCUGCAGUAUAUUGACUGUACAAAGGUAGCAUAAUCAAUAGUCUUUUAAUUGGUGACUUGUAUGAAUGAUUGGAUGAAAUAUAAACUGUUUCUUAUUUAAAAAUUGAAUUUAAUUUUUUAGUUAAAAAGCUAAAAUAAAUUUAAAAGACGAGAAGACCCUAUAGAGUUUUAUAAAAUUUAUAAUUUUUUUUGUUAUUAGUAUAAUAAUAAAAUUAAUAAAUUUUAUUUUAUUGGGGUGAUAAAAAAAUUAAUUAAACUUUUUUUAAAAAUUAAUAUAAAUAAAUGAAUAAAAUGAUCCAUAAUUUUUGAUUAAAAGAAAAAAUUACCUUAGGGAUAACAGCGUAAUUUUUUUUUUUAGUACGAAUAAAAAUAAAAGUUUGCGACCUCGAUGUUGGAUUAAGAUAAAAUUUAAAUGUAAAAGUUUAAAAUUUUGAUCUGUUCGAUCAUUAAAAUCUUACAUGAUCUGAGUUCAAACCGGUGUGAGCCAGGUUGGUUUCUAUCUUUAAAAAAUUAAAAUAUUUUAGUACGAAAGGAUCAAAUAUUUAAAAUAAUUUUAAAAUGGGAAUAUUAUUAAUUUUAAUAUAAAAAAAAAUUGGAAAUUUUU